rnacentral:tRNA from 1 species
GAGGGUAUAGCUCAGUGAUAGAGCACAUGUCUGGCGUGCACGAAGUCCUGGGUUCAAUUCCUAGUACCCCCG